rnacentral:rRNA from 1 species
AGUGAACGCUGGCGGUAGGCCUAACACAUGCAAGUCGAACGGCAGCACAGUAAGAGCUUGCUCUUACGGGUGGCGAGUGGCGGACGGGUGAGGAAUGCAUCGGAAUCUACUUUUUCGUGGGGGAUAACGUAGGGAAACUUACGCUAAUACCGCAUACGACCUACGGGUGAAAGCAGGGGAUCUUCGGACCUUGCGCGAUUGAAUGAGCCGAUGUCGGAUUAGCUAGUUGGCGGGGUAAAGGCCCACCAAGGCGACGAUCCGUAGCUGGUCUGAGAGGAUGAUCGGCCACACUGGAACUGAGACACGGUCCAGACUCCUACGGGAGGCAGCAGUGGGGAAUAUUGGACAAUGGGCGCAAGCCUGAUCCAGCCAUACCGCGUGGGUGAAGAAGGCCUUCGGGUUGUAAAGCCCUUUUGUUGGGAAAGAAAAGCAGCAGGUUAAUACCUCGCUGUUCCGACGGUACCCAAAGAAUAAGCACCGGCUAACUUCGUG